CGAGAAGUGAUGAGGAGAGACUUUGUCUCAUAAACUGGUUGAGCCCAUGCUGCCAAGAAAAGCCUCUAGCGAGUCAGUUCGGUGAUCGUACUGCAAACCGACACAGGUAGGCGGGGUGAGAAUCCCAAGGCGCUCGAGAGAACUCUGGUUAAGGAACUCGGCAAAUUAACACCGUAACUUCGGGAGAAGGUGUGCCUCCAUUAGGUGAAGAGAUUUACUUUUCGAGCCGAAGGAGGUUGCAGAGAAAUGGGGGUGGCGACUGUUUACUAAAAACAUAGGACUCUGCUAAGUCGCAAGACGAUGUAUAGGGUCUGACGCCUGCCCGGUGCUGGAAGGUUAAGGGGACUUGUUAUGUCCGACUUGUCGGACAGAAGCAUUGAACCGAAGCCCCAGUAAACGGCGGCCGUAACUAUAACGGUCCUAAGGUAGCGAAAUUCCUUGUCGGGUAAGUUCCGACCUGCACGAAUGGCGUAACGACUUCCCCACUGUCUCGACCAGGGACUCGGUGAAAUUGAAUUCGCGGUGAAGAUGCCGCGUACCCGCGAAAAGACGGAAAGACCCCGUGAACCUUUACUACAGCUUGACAUUGGAUUUUGGGCUAGUAUGUGUAGGAUAGGUGGGAGACUUUGAAGUCUCGACGCUAGUCGGGAUGGAGUCAACCUUGAAAUACCACCCUUACUAGUUUAGGGUUCUAACCUUGGUCCGUUAUCCGGAUCGGGGACAGUGUCUGGUGGGUAGUUUGACUGGGGCGGUCGCCUCCCAAAGAGUAACGGAGGCGCGCGAUGGUUCCCUCAGGCUGAUUGGAAACCAGCCGAAGAGUGUAAAGGCAUAAGGGAGCUUGACUGUGAGAGAGACAUCUCGAACAGGUACGAAAGUAGGUCUUAGUGAUCCGGCGGUUCCGUAUGGAAGGGCCGUCGCUCAACGGAUAAAAGGUACUCCGGGGAUAACAGGCUUAUCGCGCCCAAGAGUUCACAUCGACGGCGCGGUUUGGCACCUCGAUGUCGGCUCAUCGCAUCCUGGGGCUGGAGCAGGUCCCAAGGGUUUGGCUGUUCGCCAAUUAAAGCGGUACGUGAGCUGGGUUUAGAACGUCGUGAGACAGUUCGGUCCCUAU
rnacentral:rRNA from 1 species